rnacentral:rRNA from 1 species
GGUGAGUAACAUGUGGGUAUCUACCCUUUGGCCUGGAAUAACACGAGGAAACUUGUGCUAAUACCGGAUAAGUCUUUACGGAGAAAGCUUUAUGCACCAUUGGAUGAGCCCGCACUUGAUUAGUUUGUUGGUAGGGUAAUGGCCUACCAAGACUAUGAUCAAUAGCUGAUUUGAGAGGAUGAUCAGCCACAUUGGGACUGAGACACGGCCCAAACUCCUACGGGAGGCAGCAGUGGGGAAUCUUGCACAAUGGAGGAAACUCUGAUGCAGCGAUGCCGCGUGAGUGAAGAAGGCCUUUGGGUUGUAAAGCUCUUUCGUCGGGGAAGAAAAUGACUGUACCCGAAUAAGAAGGUCCGGCUAACUUCGUGCCAGCAGCCGCGGUAAUACGAAGGGACCUAGCGUAGUUCGGAAUUACUGGGCUUAAAGAGUUCGUAGGUGGUUGGAAAAGUUGGUGGUGAAAUCCCAGAGCUUAACUCUGGAACUGCCAUCAAAACUUUUCAGCUAGAGUAUGAUAGAGGAAAGCAGAAUUUCUAGUGUAGAGGUGAAAUUCGUAGAUAUUAGAAAGAAUACCAACUGCGAAGGCAGCUUUCUGGAUCAUUACUGACGCUGAGGUGCGAAAGCGUGGGUAGCAAACAGGAUUAGAUACCCUGGUAGUCCACGCCCUAAACGAUGUCAACUAGGUGUGUGAGAGUCUAACUCUC